UACGAAUGGAGCGAGCGUUGUUCGGAAUCACUGGGCGUAAAGGGUGCGCAGGCGGUUAUGAAAGUCAGAAGUGAAAUCCCAGGGCUUAACCCUGGAAUUGCUUUUGAAACUCCAUGACUCGAGUACUGGAGAGGUUAGCGGAAUUCCGAGUGUAGCAGUGAAAUGCGUAGAUAUUCGGAGGAACACCAAUGGCGUAGGCAGCUAACUGGACAGUAACUGACGCUCAUGCACGAAAGCGUGGGGAUCAAACAGG
rnacentral:rRNA from 1 species